rnacentral:rRNA from 1 species
AGGCAGCAGUGGGGAAUAUUGCACAAUGGGGGAAAACCCUGAUGCAGCGACGCCGCGUGAAGGAAGAAGUAUCUCGGUAUGUAAACUUCUAUCAGCAGGGAAGAUAGUGACGGUACCUGACUAAGAAGCCCCGGCUAACUACGUGCC